rnacentral:rRNA from 1 species
AUUGAACGCUGGCGGCAUGCCUUACACAUGCAAGUCGAACGGCAGCGGACCUUCGGGUGCCGGCGAGUGGCGAACGGGUGAGUAAUAUAUCGGAACGUACCUUUCAGUGGGGGAUAACGUAGCGAAAGUUACGCUAAUACCGCAUACGCCCUGAGGGGGAAAGUGGGGACCGCAAGGCCUCACGUUAUACGAGCGGCCGAUGUCGGAUUAGCUAGUUGGUGGGGUAAAGGCCUACCAAGGCGACGAUCCGUAGCGGGUCUGAGAGGAUGAUCCGCCACACUGGGACUGAGACACGGCCCAGACUCCUACGGGAGGCAGCAGUGGGGAAUUUUGGACAAUGGGCGCAAGCCUGAUCCAGCCAUGCCGCGUGAGUGAAGAAGGCCUC